rnacentral:rRNA from 1 species
AACGAACGCUGGCGGCAUGCCUAACACAUGCAAGUCGAACGAGACCUUCGGGUCUAGUGGCGCACGGGUGCGUAACGCGUGGGAACCUGCCCUUAGGUUCGGGAUAACUCCCCGAAAGGGGUGCUAAUACCGGAUAAUGUCUUCGGACCAAAGAUUUAUCGCCUUUGGAUGGGCCCGCGUUGGAUUAGCUAGUUGGUAGGGUAAAAGCCUACCAAGGCGACGAUCCAUAGCUGGUCUGAGAGGAUGAUCAGCCACACUGGGACUGAGACACGGCCCAGACUCCUACGGGAGGCAGCAGUGGGGAAUAUUGGACAAUGGGCGAAAGCCUGAUCCAGCAAUGCCGCGUGAGUGAUGAAGGCCUUAGGGUUGUAAAGCUCUUUUACCCGGGAUGAUAAUGACAGUACCGGGAGAAUAAGCGCCGGCUAACUCCGUG